UACGUAGGGCGCAAGCGUUGUCCGGAAUUAUUGGGCGUAAAGAGCUCGUAGGCGGUCUGUUACGUCCGCUGUGAAAACCCAGAGCUUAACCCUGGGCUUGCAGUGGAUACGGGUAGACUAGAGGCAGGUAGGGGAGAAUGGAAUUCCCGGUGUAGCGGCGAAAUGCGCAGAUAUCGGGAGGAACACCAGUGGCGAAGGCGACUACCUGGCCUGUUCUUGACGCUGAGGCGCGAAAGCUAGGGGAGCAAACGGG
rnacentral:rRNA from 1 species